UACGAAGGGUGCAAGCGUUACUCGGAAUUACUGGGCGUAAAGCGUGCGUAGGUGGUUUGUUAAGUCUGCUGUGAAAGCCCCGGGCUCAACCUGGGAAUGGCAGUGGAUACUGGCAAGCUAGAGUGCGGUAGAGGGGUGUGGAAUUCCCGGUGUAGCGGUGAAAUGCGUAGAGAUCGGGAGGAACACCGGUGGCGAAGGCGGCUUGCUGGGCCUUACCUGACGCUGAGGAGCGAAAGCGUGGGGAGCGAACAGG
rnacentral:rRNA from 1 species